rnacentral:rRNA from 1 species
AUUGAACGCUGGCGGCAUGCCUUACACAUGCAAGUCGAACGGCAGCACGGGAGCUUGCUCCUGGUGGCGAGUGGCGAACGGGUGAGUAAUACAUCGGAACGUACCCUGAAGUGGGGGAUAACGUAGCGAAAGUUACGCUAAUACCGCAUAUUCUGUGAGCAGGAAAGAGGGGGAUCGCAAGACCUCUUGCUUUAGGAGCGGCCGAUGUCGGAUUAGCUAGUUGGUGAGGUAAAGGCUCACCAAGGCGACGAUCCGUAGCGGGUCUGAGAGGAUGAUCCGCCACACUGGGACUGAGACACGGCCCAGACUCCUACGGGAGGCAGCAGUGGGGAAUUUUGGACAAUGGGCGAAAGCCUGAUCCAGCCAUGCCGCGUGUCUGAAGAAGGCCU